rnacentral:rRNA from 1 species
AACGAACGCUGGCGGCAUGCCUAAUACAUGCAAGUCGAACGAGAUCUUCGGAUCUAGUGGCGCACGGGUGCGUAACGCGUGGGAAUCUGCCCUUGGGUUCGGAAUAACAGCGGGAAACUGCUGCUAAUACCGGAUGAUGACGUAAGUCCAAAGAUUUAUCGCCCAGGGAUGAGCCCGCGUAGGAUUAGGUAGUUGGUGGGAUAAAGGCCUACCAAGCCUACGAUCCUUAGCUGGUCUGAGAGGAUGAUCAGCCACACUAGGACUGAGACACGGCCCAGACUCCUACUGGAGGCAGCAGUAGGGAAUAUUGGACAAUGGGGGCAACCCUGAUCCAGCAAUGCCGCGUGAGUGAUGAAGGCCUUAGGGUUGUAAAGCUCUUUUACCCGGGAUGAUGAUGACAGUACCGGGAGAAUAAGCCCCGGCUAACUCCGUGCCAGCAGCCGCGUUAA